rnacentral:rRNA from 1 species
ACGUAGGGGGCGAGCGUUGUCCGGAAUUACUGGGCGUAAAGGGUGCGCAGGCGGUUUUUUAAGUCAGAUGUGAAAUAUUCGGGCUUAACCUGGGGGGUGCAUUUGAAACUGGAAGACUUGAGUGUAGGAGAGGAAAGUGGAAUUCCUAGUGUAGCGGUGAAAUGCUUAGAUAUUAGGAAGAACGCCAGUGGCGAAGGCGGCUUUCUGGACUAUAACUGACGCUGAGGCACGAAAGCGUGGGGAGCAAACAG